UGGGGAAUCUUCCGCAAUGGGCGAAAGCCUGACGGAGCAACGCCGCGUGAGUGAAGAAGGCCUUCGGGUCGUAAAACUCUGUCUUCAGGGAAGAAAAAAAUGACGGUACCCUUGGAGGAAGCCCCGGCUAACUACGUGCCAGCAGCCGCGGUAAUACGUAGGUGGCGAGCGUUAUCCGGAAUUAUUGGGCGUAAAGAGUGCGUAGGUGGUUUUGUAAGCGCGGGGUGAAAGGCAAUAGCUUAACUAUUGUAAGCCCUGCGAACUGUAAAACUUGAGUGCAGGAGAGGAAAGCGGAAUUCCUAGUGUAGCGGUGAAAUGCGUAGAUAUUAGGAGGAACACCAGUGGCGAAGGCGGCUUUCUGGACUGUAACUGACACUGAGGCACGAAAGCGUGGGGAGCAAACAGG
rnacentral:rRNA from 1 species